rfam:Lupinus angustifolius cultivar Tanjil contig_4178, whole genome shotgun sequence.
AGCUGCGAUCAUACCAGCACUAAUGCACCAGAUCCGAUCAGAACUCCAUAGUGAAGCGAUUUUGGGCGAGAGUAGUACUAGGAUGGGUGACCUCCUAGAAAGUGCUCGUGUUGCACCUC